rnacentral:snRNA from 1 species
GGAUGUGAGGGCGAUCUGGCUGCGACAUCUGUAACCCCACUCACUGAUCGCCAGGGUUGAUUCGGCUAAUCUAGGCAGGUGUCCCCUUCCUCCCUCACCGCUCCAUGUGCGUCCCUCCCUAAGCAGCAUGCUUGGAAGAGGACGGCCUUCCCCGAAUAGAGACGGACCGGUCUUCGGUCGAGGGUAUACGAGUAGCUGCGCUCCCCGGCUAGAACCUCCAAACAAGCUCUCAAGAGAUCUCCCUGCAUUUGAAAACAUUUUAUCAGGGCAUGUAAAACCAAAACGUCUACCUUGCUUUAUAGUUACAUAACUAUGUCCCUAACUAGAUGA